ACGUGGGUUUUUUUUGAAUUGGAUGAUUAUGCAACCAUACAGGAACCUUACAUAAGCGCAAGUAGUUGAAUAGUAGAUCUAACCAGUAAAACUUUACUACCAGUGGGAUUAAUGGAACGAAUUAGACGUACUCGAUCUUGCAAGUAAAAUCUACGCACAGGAUAAGAAGUCCCAGGGGAAGCUAGGUACUUCUUUCCCGCUGCAAUAUUUUUCUAAAUUCUGUCUUGAUUUUCUUCAAAUUGCUUGAGGAAAAUAACUUCUAAGCAGUAUGCUGAGAAGGGUUGGCAUGGGAUGUUUGAAUUGUUUAGAUAAUAUAAAAGAGACAUCUAAUAUGACUAAUAAAAAAUAGUAAGUAUGGUAUACAAAAAAAAAUACAAAGAACGUGUAUAUAUAAAGGAAAAAUAACCUGCGAAUAUUGAGAAAAG
rnacentral:sRNA from 1 species